CUGGGAGGUAAUUGAAUCAUGGGAGUGGUUAACCUCAUGCUGUUCUCAUGAUAGUGAGUGAGUUCUCACGAGAUCUAAUGGUUUCUUAAGGGGCUUUUCCCCCUUUUGCUCAGCACUUGUCCUUCCUUCUGCUAUGUAAGAUGUGCCUGUGCUCCUCCCUUGCCUUCUGCCUUGAUUGUGAGGCCUCGCCAGCCAUGUGGAACUGUGAGUUCACGAAACCUUUUUUUCUUUAUAAAUUACCCAGUCUUGGGUAUUUCUUCAUAGCAGUAUGAAAAUGGACUAAUACAGGGGCCAAACGUGACUGUGACAAACACCUCCAGUUUUAACCUGUUUCCUAGAGAAGGAAUACCAUCGGAGCUCCUCUGGAACAUGUCCUUGUCUUCUCAGAGUGUGAAGUGUGUGUGUGACAGUGCUUUUCUGAGGACUCAGGUGACCUGGAGGCUGGAGAACAGCAUGGAGCAAGGAAAACAAAGACGAUGUGCUGGAGUGUAUGUUGCUUUCAUAAUUAUGUGAAAGAAAAUGUAGAGAAAUUUGAAAGGAGAACUGGUUAUCAGUAGUGCCAUCCUGCUCAAAUAUCUUCAAAUACACACCACCAUCCAUGUGUGGGUUGAUUAAGGAGCUGACGUUCAUUAGAUCUGCAGUCUCCUGACCUGAUGUGCAUCAGAAUCACUGGGAGAACAAACAAACAAAAAUGAAUCCAAAACAAGCAACGAACAGACAGAUUCUCAAGUCUUGCCAAGUCCAAAGAUUGAUUUGGUGGAGAAAUUGUACUUUGAAAGCUGCCCAGGUAAUAAUUCUGGCAUAUAGCCAGGUUUGUAAAAUCUUGAAUGAACUGUCUUGGGCAAACAAAGGAAUUCUAGUUUUUUAUCUGCCAGCUUUUAAAAAUUUCCCAUCUUUGAAAGGAAAGUGUUACAUUAAUCACAAACUCCCAUGGUCAAGGUGAUAGCAAAACAACACUGUAUUCUGGUUGGAACCUUGGAACAUUCAGACCUUGGAGAGAACAAGCAAAACAUUUUCAUAAUUAUGAUGUCAUGUGGGUUGAAAGCAGAGUCUUGAUUUGGGUUCCGCUGCUGCCCAUAAACAGCUGGGUGGGAAUUUGGGUCAAUCCCUUCACUUCUCUAUAGCUCCCUUUCCUCAUCCCCAAAAUGAGAUGCUUGUUUGAUUUCAGAGUUUCCUGCUAGGUCUACAAUUCUGUGAUUAGCAUCUCUGCUCUCUGGAAUAUUCUUUUAUGUCCGGUGACUUAAAUCAGAUUAUCAAAUAUUUAUUGAACACCUGCUAUGUGUCCAGAAACUGAAAUUAUUUGAAAAAUUGGAUCUGUGGGGGAAAGAAGGGGCUGAGAAGGGACAAAUACUAGUAAAGAGAAAUGGAUGGAGCUCAACAACUAAGAAUUUUUGAACUCUAAUAAAUGUUUCUACUUUCUCGCUUAGAGCCAUUAUGUGUGAGUAAAGUGCAGGUUACAGUGAGACAACUGGCUGAAAGCAGCAAACAAAUAUAACCUGAUAGAUGGUAACUGAGGUACUCAGCCCUUUGGAUGACAAAUAUUGCUAGGUGAUAAAAAGCACUAAUGCAUCAGGUGUGAAUCUGCUGCUUCAGGAAAAAUGUAUGACCAGAAGGGAAAUACUGGUGAUUUGACUGACAGGAACAGCUGGAGGCUCCUAUAAUUGUCCAGAUAGAAAGCAGGAAAAAAUAAAAAAGAAGUUGUGUGCUAUAUGGAAGGACCUGGUGUGAGCUUGUGAGCUGUGUCUCUCGAAUGUUCUUGUUUCUGAAGAUUUCUGCAGGUGGUUGAUUCUAUGAUCUCUCGGUUUUUCCCAGAGCUCAGACUCGAGGUGUUCCUGAACAGUGGAAACCUCAGCCUCCCAAAAAGCCCUCAGUGCAGUUCUCCUUUCUGUGGAGGAGCCAGUGGUCCGGAGUGGGGGUUUUCAAAUGGCUUUUUGAGUUGCACAGGAGUGCUGACGGUGGAGCGGGUGAGGGGGAGAGGGCAGCACAGCAGCACCAGCCGAAUCUCCCUAAAUUAGACCAGUCUCCUCUGACCUGAUGGACAUAUUGGGGGCUUUCCAUGAAGCACUGGGAUGAGUUUCCCAGUUGGCAGAACUCGUGAGCUACUUUGCUGGCCUUAGUCACCCAUUUGGCAAAAUGAAGUUAGGCAGAGAUUGAGUGCUUAGUAAGGCCAGUUUGGCUGGAGCAGUGACUGACUGUGUUCGGGGUGAGUUUGCUGGAUAAUUGAUAUGGUUUGGCUGUGUCCCCACCCAAAUCUCAUCUUGAAUUGUAGCUCCCGUAAUCCCUAUGUGUCGUAGAAGGGACACAGUGGGAGGUAAUUGAAUCAUGGGGGUGGGCUUUUCCUGUGCUGUUCUUGUAAUAGUGAAUAAAUCUCAUGAGAUCUGAUGGUUUUAUAAAAGGGCAGUUCCCCUGCACGUGCUCUCUUGCCUGCCACCAUGUAAGAUGUGUCUUUGCUCCCCCUUUGUCUUCCACCGUGAUUGUGAGGCCUCCCCAGCCAUGUGGAACUGUG
rnacentral:lncRNA from 1 species